UACAGAGGUGCCAAGCGUUAGGCGGAAUCACUGGGCUUAAAGCGCGUGUAGGCGGGGCGUUAAGUGUCCGAGUGAAAUCCCACGGCUCAACCGUGGAACUGCCGGGCAUACUGGCGAUCUUGAGGCAUUCAGGGGCGAGCGGAACAAAUGGUGGAGCGGUGAAAUGCGUAGAUAUCAUUUGGAACGCCAAUGGUGAAAACAGCUCGCUGGGAAUGAUCUGACGCUGAGACGCGAAAGCCAGGGGAGCGAACGGG
rnacentral:rRNA from 1 species